rnacentral:rRNA from 1 species
AGUGGCGAACGGGUGAGUAACACGUAGGUAACCUGCCCAUGUGCCCGGGAUAACUUCUGGAAACGGAUGCUAAAACCGGAUAGGUAGCAGACAAGCAUUUGACUGCUAUUAAAGUGGCUUUGGCCAUGAACAUGGAUGGACCUGCGGUGCAUUAGCUAGUUGGUGAGGUAACGGCCCACCAAGGCGACGAUCAGUAGCCGGACUGAGAGGUUGAACGGCCACAUUGGGACUGAGAUACGGCCCAGACUCCUACGGGAGGCAGCAGUGGGGAAUAUUGGGCAAUGGGCGCAAGCCUGACCCAGCAACGCCGCGUGAAGGAAGAAGGCUUUCGGGUUGUAAACUACUUUUGUCAGGGACGAGUAGAAGACGGUACCUGACGAAUAAGCCACGGCUAACUACGUGCCAGCAGCCGCGGUAAUACGUAGGUGGCAAGCGUUGUCCGGAUUUACUGGGUGUAAAGGGCGUGUAGCCGGGAGGGCAAGUCAGAUGUGAAAUCCACGGGCUCAACUCGUGAACUGCAUUUGAAACUACUCUUCUUGAGUAUCGGAGAGGCAAUCGGAAUUCCUAGUGUAGCGGUGAAAUGCGUAGAUAUUAGGAGGAACACCAGUGGCGAAGGCGGAUUGCUGGACGACAACUGACGGUGAGGCGCGAAAGCGUGGGGAGCAAACAGGAUUAGAUACCCUGGUAGUCCACGCUGUAAACGAUGAAUACUAGGGUGUGCGGGGGACUGACCCCCUGCGUGCCGCAGCUAACGGCAAUAAGUAUUCCUCCUGGGAGUACGAUCGCAAGGUUGAAACUCAAAGGAAUUGACGGGGGCCCGCACAAAGCGGUGGAUUAUGUGGUUUAAUUCGAAGCAACGCGAAGAACCUUACCAGGUCUUGACAUCCCGAUGACCGGCCCGUAACGGGACCUUCUCUUCGGAGCAUUGGAGACAGGUGGUGCAUGGUUGUCGUCAGCUCGUGUCGUGAGAUGUUGGGUUAAGUCCCGCAACGAGCGCAACCCUUAUCCUCAGUAGCCAGCAGGUAAAGCUGGGCACUCUGUGGAGACUGCCAGGGAUAACCUGGAGGAAGGUGGGGAUGACGUCAAAUCAUCAUGCCCCUUAUGAUCUGGGCUACACACGUGCUACAAUGGCGUAAACAAAGGGAGGCAAAGCCGCGAGGUGGAGCAAAUCCCAAAAAUAACGUCUCAGUUCGGACUGCAGUCUGCAACUCGACUGCACGAAGCUGGAAUCGCUAGUAAUCGCGAAUCAGAAUGUCGCGGUGAAUACGUUCCCGGGUCUUGUACUAACCGCCCGUCA